rnacentral:rRNA from 1 species
AACGAACGCUGGCGGCAUGCCUAACACAUGCAAGUCGAACGAGACCUUCGGGUCUAGUGGCGCACGGGUGCGUAACGCGUGGGAACCUGCCCUUAGGUUCGGAAUAACUCCCCGAAAGGGGUGCUAAUACCGGAUAAUGUCUUCGGACCAAAGAUUUAUCGCCUUUGGAUGGGCCCGCGUUGGAUUAGCUAGUUGGUAGGGUAAAAGCCUACCAAGGCGACGAUCCAUAGCUGGUCUGAGAGGAUGAUCAGCCACACUGGGACUGAGACACGGCCCAGACUCCUACGGGAGGCAGCAGUGGGGAAUAUUAGACAAGGGGCGAAAGCCUGAUCCAGCAGUGCCGCGUGAGUGAUGAAGGCCUUAGGGUUGUAAAGCUCUUUUACCCGGGAUGAUAAUGACAGUACCGGGAGAAUAAGCUCCGGCUAACUCCGUG